GGUAAAUAUGCUCUAAGUUCUUAAAGAAGAAUUUGUCUAUUGUAUUUGUUUUUCUGACUGUCUAAUUGUUGUGCAGUCCAAACAAUGUGAAUUCGAAAUCCUGUGAUAACCAGAAAGUCACAAAACCUCGUUUCCCAUCUCCCAAAAGCCAGCCCAAAUCUUACAAUUACAAAGAGGACCCUGAUGAAGGUGAUGACUACAUUAAUACCGCAGACCUCAACAUCUAUGGAAACAUCUGAAAAACAAACAAAAAAAGAAGAAGAAAAAAAGCCAGCAAUUAAUGUUCUAAUAAAUUUAAAUAAGUAUAAAACAAAUCUAUGUGCACUCUUUAUGAUCACUUGUCCUUGGGAUUUCUCAUGCAUGUUUCUUGUGAUGAUGUCUUCUGUCCAUUAAUUACUAUAAUCCUGUAAUUUAUGUUGUUUGGUGUAACAAAUGCUUGUAUCCAUAAUUCUGCAAAAUAAUAUUUGUAAAAAUGCUACUCAUGUUUUGGCUGAAUAAAUCAACAUGAACCUUUUUUUAACUGA